UAAAAUGCAGUCUAGUUUAUUGGUUAAUUAUAUACAGGAGACUUGAUAUUCACAGUAAUAUCAGACAAGUUAUCUCCACAUAGAGCAAGAUAAAAACAAAAGUGACAGUCCACUGUAAACAGAACUCAAACCCUGCUGGAUAUGGGGCUGCUCCAGGCAAACUGAACAGGCACUGAAGGAACGAGAACAGCGGCAGGUGCAAAGCCACGUGUUUGGGCACUUCUGAGAUGAUGAUCCAGAGGCAUCGCGUGUGGAGACCAUACAUGGGAUACAAACAGACACAGGACAUCGCAUUCCAGGUGUGCUACACUGUGUUGACGUGAAUUUAGUGUGCUCAAGCCUUGUAGAGCCCUCACCUCCCUCCAAGCACCACUUCAUGAGCGUUUAGUGUUAUCAGGACAACUGUCUACGGGAGCGCCCCGGAUGCGGUGGGUCAAGCCAUUGGGAAGCAGCAGGUUCUGCUCAGCAGCCCGGGCCAGGGACACGCAGAGGCACUGGAGGCACAGAGGAGGCUGCUCUGGAUUGUCUGAAGCUGAAGGAAGCAUGUGCAAAGCUGAAGGGGAGGUGGUCAUGGAGAGAUGGAGGCUGUGUCCUCUCUGCUGCUGAGACAUAGACUGGAAACAUCUCUUCCUCAGCAGCAGAGAGGACGCAGCCUCCAUCUCCACAUGACCACCUGCCCUUCAGACCAUCCUUCCCUGGCUCAGCUCUCCCCUGUCUAACAGGCGCUGCCCCUGCUCCGACCAUCACUGCCAGGGCACCAGAGACUGCUGCCAGGGCUCCUGCUGUGCAGGUGACCACUGCUGGGGCAGCACCAGCACCCAACUGCACACUGAACACAGGGGGAUCACCUCUGGGGGGAAACAGUUUCCAUGCUACAAGUAGAACGAGGCAGAAAAGCUAACAAGAACCCAGUUUAGAUUGUGAAAGCCACAGCUACUGCCUGAUCUCUGAGUCGUCCACCUCUGGUCACUCGAAUCAGAACUCGGUGACCAAAAGGUGACAGCAGGAUCAGGCGAAGGGGGGGGGUUCUAUUUUAGAGAAAGACACAGCAAGAGGUACAUGGAGUAACUGGUGGUGUCACAGAGCCCCUCGUGUUUAUAACCCCUGGAACAGCAACAGCUCCAGCUUGCUGCAGAGAAAGGACCAGCACAGCGCUGGCACUGCUGGCUCUGAGCAGCUCCAGGGACCAAGCCCUGUAGGGUAAAGCUUCCAAACCUGCACCCACCAUCUCCAGCACUCACUGCUUCAGUGACACACACUCCGAUUCCCUCACAGCUCAGGGUGGAAGGGUCUGGUUUCUGCUCUCACAGACAGGCAGGAUUGCUUAGAGGGCACAGAGUUUUUUACCUUCGUGGCCGAUGCAGAGAGCAGCAUCUGUCCUUCCGCAGCCUGGCAGAUUACCUCCCUUCGAAGGUCAGACUGGGGAAGAGCUUUUCCGCUCUCUCAUCAGGAGGGGGCUUGAAUUCAUCCAUGAAAAUAACUUUGCCUUUUUCACCCAGAUGCAAAUUCACUACAGAAAGCAACUCUUUAGGAACUGAAGCCUGCCUUUAACUCAUCAAAUUGUGUGCUGUGUUUGUGCUGCCCAAAGGAAACAAGCCAUCCAAACAAAUAGAUGGCAUCAACCCGGGACAGUCAACUUCAGGUGGAGCAAUUCAGGAUCCUGGCAGUGGCAGUAAUGGAUUUCCUGCUGCCCUUCACAGAGAGUGGUAGGGUGAGGGUGGGCUCUGGGCUGUUGGUGUACCAUCAACACCAAAGAACCCACCUCCACAGGGAUGGGCCUUGCUUCCAGGCUAAAGAAAUGUAAUUCCCGACUUUCCUUACACAGCUACUGCCAGCAGUGGGACUAGUUGCACCUCCAGAGAGAAAAGUGCUACUGCACGUGCCCAGACACUUUCCCCUCAAGAGGAUUCCC
rnacentral:lncRNA from 1 species